rnacentral:lncRNA from 1 species
CCUUUUACCUGGGGUCCCCAGCCACCCCCUCCGGUGUUCUCAGGCUGACAGUGAUUUGAGUUCUCCCUGGCAUGGAGGUCUUUAGGUCCUGCCCAGUGAGGGAUCUCCCAACUGGGGCCUCCAGCCACCCCCGCCAGUGUUCUGGGGCUGACAGAGAUUUGAAUUCUCCCAGGUAUGCAGUUCUUGGUUCUUGAAGUCCCGCCCAGUAAGGGUUCUCCUAACUGGGGCCUCCGGCCACCCUCACCUGUGUUCUCAUGCUGACAGAGAUUUGAACUCUUCCUGACAUGGAGGUCUCCACUUCCUGUCCGCUGUGGGUCUUUUCAAUUCAGGCCUCCAGCCACCCACCCCUGGUGUUCUCAGGCUGACAGAGAUUCGAAUUCUCCCUGGCACUUAGUUCUUGAGGUCCUACCCAAUGAGGGUCCUUUUAGCUGGGGUCUCCAGCCAACCCCACUGGUGUUCUGGGGCUGACAGAGGUUGGAGUUCUCCCUGGCAUGGCGG